GCAUAUCAAUAAGCGGAGGAAAAGAAACCAACUGGGAUUGCCUUAGUAACGGCGAGUGAAGCGGCAAUAGCUCAAAUUUGAAAGCGGGCCCCUUUGGGGUCCGCGUUGUAAUUUGUAGAGGAUGAUUCGGCGAGGGCUCCCGUCUAAGUCCCCUGGAACGGGGCGUCAUAGAGGGUGAGAAUCCCGUAUGUGAUGGGUUGCCUUAGCCAUGUGAAUCUCCUUCGACGAGUCGAGUUGUUUGGGAAUGCAGCUCUAAAUGGGAGGUAAAUUUCUUCUAAAGCUAAAUACCGGCCAGAGACCGAUAGCGCACAAGUAGAGUGAUCGAAAGAUGAAAAGCACUUUGGAAAGAGAGUUAAAAAGUACGUGAAAUUGUUGAAAGGGAAGCGCUUGCAGCCAGACUUGUCCGCAGUUGCUCAGCCGGUCUCCUGACCGGCGUACUCUUCUGCGGCCAGGCCAGCAUCAGUUCGGGCGGUCGGAUAAAGACCCUAGGAAUGUAGCUCCUCUCGGGGAGUGUUAUAGCCUGGGGUGGAAUGCGGCCAGCCUGGACUGAGGAUCUCGCUUCGGCUAGGAUGCUGGCGUAAUGGCUGUAAGCGGCCCGUCUUGAAACACGGACC
rnacentral:rRNA from 1 species